AGCCACUGUUCAUGCUCAAUUAAAGAUGAUGACGAAUAACGCAACCAACAGUAAUUAGUGGCUUGAAAGAAAAUGAUGGCUGAAAAAACGGUCAUGGCGAGACUGUUAAAGACAGAACUGACAGUAAGCCACAGCACAGCCAAAGCUGAGGCCUCCUCCCAGCUGAGGUUUGAUUAGGAGGACUGCCAGCAAAUGUGACCGACUUUUAUUUCACAGAAGAAAGAACAGAGCAACAAUGAAGACACAGAAGGAAACAAGUCGCCUUUCUUGGCUGAAUACUGACAGAAUCCACUGUAGUUCCCCAGAAACCUAAAUUAAAAAGUUACAUUGGAUGUGGAAUCUUCAUAGACUUCUGGAUCAGUUGCUGUGAGGGAAGUUGACACUCAAGCAUCCCAUAGAAAUGUUUAUGUGUCAAGGAACUGAGGCCUCUUGCCAAGGACGGGCUCUAACUUGCUAGCUCAGGUAAGUCAUCUUGGAAACAGAUCUUCCAGC